GGGUCAGUAGGUUGGUCGUGCCACCGGUACGUACUGGUCUCACUGAUUCCUCCUUCCUGUAGAACCGUAAUGCCAUUAAUUUGGUGUUGCGGGGAAACAGGACUGUUACUUUGAAAAAAUUAGAGUGUUUAAAGCAAGCUAACGCUUGAAUCCAUUAGCAUGGAAUAAUGAAAUAGGACGAUCGAUCCUAUUUUGUUGGUUUCUAGGAUUGACGUA
rnacentral:rRNA from 1 species